ensembl:lncRNA
GGUGCAGUUGGGCUUCUCAGAGAGGUUAGGCUUGGUCUGGGGAGGAGGAGGAGGAGGAGGAGGAGGAGGCUCUCUGAAGACCGGCGGCCCCUUGAGGUUCCCAGCCUCCAGAAUGGUCAGAAACAAACUAGUUCGCUCUUCCACGUAUGAGAAAUACUAGUACAGUGGACCCUCAAGUUACAACUGGCCUGACAUUCAAACAACUUGGGUUAAUUAGUAAUUUUGGAUCUUUCGUCUAGGCCUUUGAUCCAUUUUGUGGAUAUUUGCACCAGGAAGAGAGACUAGGAAGAAAUAUAUGCCCUUAAGCUGGCCCUGGCUGAAAGGAUGCUGCCAGAUGGGUCUUCAUGAGCCUCCUAAAUCAACAGUGAAAUUGAAAGUGGAGUCAUCAAAUAUGUUAUUACCACUAAAAACAAGAAAGUGACAUUGCAUCCCUAUCUGAUGCAGUGAAACAGCCUUGAAUCACAGAUAGAACGUCUCUUAAGAAAACUGGAAUGAGAAGGGGAAAUAAGUACUUUAGAAUGUAAAUCUGUCUCCUACACUCAGGACAAGACUUUAGCAAAGAAUACUGUGAAGGGCAGCAGUAUCCUUUUCUCCUUGUAUAAGGACUCUUGAGAUUUUUGCAUAAAUGAGGAGAUAAUGAUAUCCCAGAGACCUCAAGAUGAGAAAAUGUGGCAAAUCUAGGAAACUGGUAAAUAAAGGGAAAGGUGCUGAGUGUGGUUACUUUACCUGAAAAUGCCAAGCUCUUUGAUCCAUAAUCCAGAUACCAGAGCAUAAAGCUCAUUACACAUCACCACGCAAUGCUGCAAUCACUGGAUGGCUAGCAUACCCUACCACAGCAAUGCCAUGAGAGACGCAGAGUUGAGGAGCAGGUCAACUCGAUCUGAUAACCACCUGGAUGGACUCGAGUCAUUUAUUAAUCUCUUUGGACCUUGUUUUCUUGUAUCAAAUAAGGCUUAAAUCUACCUCUCAAGGUUGUUAAAAAAAAUUAAAUGAAAACAUACAAACAGACAUAAUGCCUUGUGUAAUUUUGAAAUUUACACAAAGACCAGUAAUUUUACAGAAAAGAUCAUAGAAUUUUUCUUAAAACAGUAACAAAUGAAUGAAUAAAUGAAGACAUAAAAAUACAGACUUAGGAAGAAAUGUAGGCCAUGUGGGAGGACAGUACCACCUGGAAUAUAUCAAAGGUCAAAUGCUGAAGCUGUGCUUUGUAAUGGAAAAUGGCAAUUUUAUGUUUAGUCUCGAAAAGUUUCCAAAUUAAUGGCUCCCAGAGUGUACUCUAUGAAUAUUCAGAUUACUGAAAUUUCAUUUCUCCAUAUUCUCUCAAUAUAGAUAAACACACAUUGAGCAGGCCCUUUCUGAUAAGAUUUAUAUUGAAUUUUAUGUUAUAUUUCUCAGAGUUCACAACUACCUUCUUAUCUGUGUGAGUACUUGGUUAAUAAUGGCUUAUUCUUCCAGGCUCAAGCUCCAAGAGGCCAGGGACUCUCUUUUGACUUCCUCUGUAGCUCAGUUUCAAACAGUGCCUGGUAAGUGAAUGGGAGGCAUUCAGAAUUGUCCAAGGAACAGAAAUCAUUCUCUUCAUUUCCUAAAAGCAUGCCAAGAGGAUUAACAUUGUACCUUCACGUUUACUUAUUGUUCAGAACAAGUAGGCUUUGACAGAACUGUGAAGGGUUGAUAAUGGAUCAUUUUAGACCCUCAGCAGCUCCAUUACUUGCAUGUGGUGCAGAGUUUUCAAACACAAGUGUCAAAAGUGGAACCCUAACAUGGUAUGAUGCUCUCGGGAGUGAGCCUGCAGAGGCUACUCUGACUCCAGCAUCCCAAGACAGUCCCGCAGGGUGCUUUUCAGGACAAAGGCAGAAAGACAGCAGUGCUGGCCAUGACCCAAUGUCCUCAAUGCAGAAGACAAUUCCAAAAAUAAAAACUCCAGGAUCCCUGGACUGAAUCACAUUGGCCAUUCUUGACACAGAAGAUCCUAGGCUGUGACAUCAGGAUCCAGAACCACCUGCAAAAGAAAAAGUCUUGACACAGAGUGUGGUUGCUCAAGAAGAAGAGAACAUUCAACAUCAAAUUGCUGGUAAACACAAACAUACAAUUUUAGCUCUUCACAAACAGCCUGAAGAUGCCUACCAUACAAGAUAUAACAGUUUAAGCAAGGUUAAAGAUAUCCACAUCCUAUGACUGUUUUCAGAAGUAAAUGUUAGGGAUGUGACUUAUCAAGCUAAAAUUAGGAUCUGACUGUCAGAAAGUGGCUUAUGGAUAUUUGGAUUUGCAGGAGACAGUACCUGACUAAUGUGAAGUGAAGGAGUUGGAAACAUUACUCAAGAGCUGGUUGGGAUUCAAGAAAUGAGUUGUUUCCUGUUUGGUCCUCUUCUGCCAUUACCUAUAUUCCCAGUGGUAUCACCUCCUGUCACCCGUCUAGCUCCCACCUGGUGCUGCCCACCACCCAUGUCCCCUCUGGGUUUCAUCUGGUCCACUUUAUUCCCCUAAUCUCUCCAUGCUACUAUCCCACCCCCACCUCCCAAUCCACUUUAUUAUCUACAGAGCAGCUAGAGUAAUUUUUAUAAAAUAAAAAUCUGAUCUGCUCACUCCCCUACUCAAAACCCUGUAUAACCUCCCAAUAAAAUCUAAUUUCCUCACCAUGGUCAAUAAUAUCUGCCUACUGCCUUACUUCUCCAACCAUACUCUUAUGCUUCACAAUAGUUAAUGUUACUGCU